rnacentral:rRNA from 1 species
CCUACGGGAGGCAGCAGUGGGGAAUAUUGGACAAUGGGCGAAAGCCUGAUCCAGCCAUGCCGCGUGUGUGAAGAAGGCCUUCGGGUUGUAAAGCACUUUCAGUGGGGAAGAAAGCCUUGGGGCUAAUACCCUCGAGGAAGGACAUCACCCACAGAAGAAGCACCGGCUAACUCCGUGCCAGCAGCCGCGGUAAUACGGAGGGUGCGAGCGUUAAUCGGAAUUACUGGGCGUAAAGCGCGCGUAGGCGGUCUGAUAAGCCGGUUGUGAAAGCCCCGGGCUCAACCUGGGAACGGCAUCCGGAACUGUCAGGCUAGAGUGCAGGAGAGGAAGGUAGAAUUCCCGGUGUAGCAGUGAAAUGCGUAGAGAUCGGGAGGAAUACCAGUGGCGAAGGCGGCCUUCUGGACUGACACUGACGCUGAGGUGCGAAAGCGUGGGUAGCGAACAGGAUUAGAUACCCCAGUAGUC